UGAGGAAUAUUGGUCAAUGGGCGAGAGCCUGAACCAGCCAAGUCGCGUGAAGGAAGACAGUCCUAAGGAUUGUAAACUUCUUUUAUACGGGAAUAACGGGCGAUACGAGUAUUGCAUUGAAUGUACCGUAAGAAUAAGCAUCGGCUAACUCCGUGCCAGCAGCCGCGGUAAUACGUAUGUCACGAGCGUUAUCCGGAUUUAUUGGGCGUAAAGCGCGUCUAGGUGGUUAUAUAAGUCUGAUGUGAAAAUGCAGGGCUCAACUCUGUAUUGCGUUGGAAACUGUAUAACUAGAGUACUGGAGAGGUAAGCGGAACUACAAGUGUAGAGGUGAAAUUCGUAGAUAUUUGUAGGAAUGCCGAUGGGGAAGCCAGCUUACUGGACAGAUACUGACGCUGAAGCGCGAAAGCGUGGGUAGCAAACAGGAUUAGAUACCCUGGUAGUCCACGCUGUAAACGAUGAUUACUAGGUGUUGGGGGUCGAACCUCAGCGCCCAAGCAAACGCGAUAAGUAAUCCGCCUGGGGAGUACGUACGCAAGUAUG
rnacentral:rRNA from 1 species